UACAUGUGGGGCAAGCGUUGUUCGGAAUUACUGGGCAUAAAGGGUGCGUAGGCGGCUUGUUAAGUCAGGGGUGAAAGUUUUCGGCCCAACCGGAAAAUUGCCUUUGAUACUGGCGAGCUCGAGUGCGUGAGGGGUAACCGGAACGAGCAGUGUAGCGGUGAAAUGCGUAGAUAUUGGGAGGAACACCAGUGGCGAAGGCGGCUACCUGGACCGGUUCUGACGCUGAGGCGCGAAAGCGUGGGUAGCAAACAGG
rnacentral:rRNA from 1 species